GCUGUUUGAUAGCUUACAUGUGGCCCAGUCACUUCUGUCAUCACCUACUAUUGCCAGCCACUCCAAGCAACAGAGCCUUCCAACUGACUGUUUCUCAUUCUGGAAUUCUGAAACAGUCUGAGUGGAUGGUUCUGGCUCACAUCCUGUCACAAGGUUAUUGUCAAACUGUCUUCAGUCAUCUCAAGACUCAGCCAAGGCUGAAGAAUCAGCAUCUAAGUUCACUCCAGUUCUUGUUGUGACCACUGGAGCCAAGUUGGAAUUAGCAUCAACAAUG